AAUAGCUCAGUUGGUAGAGCAUCGGACUGUUAAUCCGCAGGUCCCUGGUUCGAGUCCAGG
rnacentral:tRNA from 1 species